rnacentral:rRNA from 1 species
UACGUAGGGGGCUAGCGUUGUCCGGAUUUAUUGGGCGUAAAGAGCGUGUAGGCGGCCAGGUAGGUCUGGUGUGAAAACUCGAGGCUUAACCUCGAGAUGUCAUCGGAAGCCAUUUGGCUAGAGUCCGGGAAGAGGAGAGUGGAAUUCCUGGUGUAGCGGUGAAAUGCGCAGAUAUCAGGAAGAACACCAAUGGCGAAAGCAGCUCUCUGGGACGGUACUGACGCUGAGACGCGAAAGCGUGGGGAGCGAACAGG